rnacentral:rRNA from 1 species
GACGAACGCUGGCGGCGUGCGUAACACAUGCAAGUCGAACGAGAGAGUGAGAGAAGCUUGCUUUUCUUACGAUCGAGUGGCAAACGGGUGAGUAACGCGUAAACAACCUGCCCCGCAGAUGGGGACAACAGCUGGAAACGGCUGCUAAUACCGAAUACGGUCCUCUUAGCGCAUGGUAAGAGGAAGAAAGGGUGGCCUCUGGAACAAGCUACCGCUGCGGGAGGGGUUUGCGUCUGAUUAGCUGGUUGGAGGGGUAACGGCCCACCAAGGCGACGAUCAGUAGCCGGUCUGAGAGGAUGAACGGCCACAUUGGAACUGAGACACGGUCCAGACUCCUACGGGAGGCAGCAGUGGGGAAUCUUCCGCAAUGGGCGAAAGCCUGACGGAGCAACGCCGCGUGAGUGAAGACGGCCUUCGGGGUUGUAAAAGCUCUGUUAUAAGGGGAACGAAACCGGCCCGGGUAAG